AUUUUAUGAUGGGUACAGCUUGUACACAGCUUUUUAAAUCACUCCCAAUACUCAUACAAGCUCUCUUCAUUGUACUGCCGGAUGCUACAAAUUUCUUUUCUUAUAUU